UUUUUUUUAUUUUUAUUGAUAUUUUUUCCUUUCAACAUAAAGUUAUAAUUUGACUGGGUGAUACCUGCUUUAUGUUUUUGAUUUUGCUUAUGUUUUUCUUUUUUGGGGGAUAGAGACACAAGGGCUGGAAUAAGAAGCAAACUUUGAAUAUUUAAACCGAGUUUAUAACUUUCAAAUUAAUCCUACUAAUGCACAACAAAAAGACCUGCUUGUAUGUUAAACGUGCGCGAGAAAAAUCGGCCUUCCGUCGUUAAAAUGAGUAAAUGUAAAGUUUGAUAGUUUUGAUUAUUGUAUUUCUAUCGAAGCAGUGUAGCCUUUCU
rnacentral:lncRNA from 1 species